rnacentral:tRNA from 1 species
GGUUCUGGUUCAGUGGUAGAGCGCUCACCUAGCAGGCAUGAGACACUGAGUUCAAUUCUCAGCACCA